GACGAACGCUGGCGGCGUGCUUAACACAUGCAAGUCGAACGGAAAGGCCCUGCUUGCAGGGUACUCGAGUGGCGAACGGGUGAGUAACACGUGGGUGAUCUGCCCUGCACUUCGGGAUAAGCUUGGGAAACUGGGUCUAAUACCGGAUAGGAGCCAUCUUUAGUGUGGUGGUUGGAAAGUUUUUUCGGUGUAGGAUGAGCUCGCGGCCUAUCAGCUUGUUGGUGGGGUAAUGGCCUACCAAGGCGGCGACGGGUAGCCGGCCUGAGAGGGUGUACGGCCACAUUGGGACUGAGAUACGGCCCAGACUCCUACGGGAGGCAGCAGUGGGGAAUAUUGCACAAUGGGCGCAAGCCUGAUGCAGCGACGCCGCGUGGGGGAUGAAGGCCUUCGGGUUGUAAACUCCUUUCGCUAGGGACGAAGCUUUGUUGUGACGGUGCCUAGAUAAGAAGCACCGGCUAACUACGUG
rnacentral:rRNA from 1 species